rnacentral:rRNA from 1 species
AUGAUCAAUCAUCUUUAUUCCUUCUUUUGGUUAUUGGUCUCUGUUUUGUCACUUGCUUUAAAUUUGAUUGUUGCCGAGGUUAACUAUCCUCUCGCAAGUUCCUCUGAUUUGUGGAAGAGGCUGAAAAUCUCGGUAGAGCGUGUGUUGUCAUCAGCUUCGUCUCUUGAUCCUACGAGAUGGGAGUUAAAUAACGGCACGAAAUUUCACAAAUCUUCACUGCAUCCUUGCAACAAUUCCUUCUCUGGAGGAACAAGCUGGAAUAUCGUUCUGAAACAAGUUACGAGACCAUAUUGUGAACCUGAAACCUGA